GACGAACGCUGGCGGCGUGCCUAAUACAUGCAAGUAGAACGCUGAAGAGAGGAGCUUGCUCUUCUUGGAUGAGUUGCGAACGGGUGGGUAACGCGUAGGUAACCUGCCUUGUAGCGGGGGAUAACUAUUGGAAACGAUAGCUAAUACCGCAUAACAAUGGAUGACACAUGUCAUUUAUUUGAAAGGGGCAAUUGCUCCACUACAAGAUGGACCUGCGUUGUCUUAGCUAGUAGGUGAGGUAAUGGCUCACCUAGGCGACGAUACAUAGCCGACCUGAGAGGGUGAUCGGCCACACUGGGACUGAGACACGGCCCAGACUCCUACGGGAGGCAGCAGUAGGGAAUCUUCGGCAAUGGGGGCAACCCUGACCGAGCAACGCCGCGUGAGUGAAGAAGGUUUUCGGAUCGUAAAGCUCUGUUGUAAGUCAAGAACGGGUGUGAGAGUGGAAAGUUCACACUGUGACGGUAGCUUACCAGAAAGGGACGGCUAACUACGUG
rnacentral:rRNA from 1 species